UUUAGGGGCUGAUGUGUACACGUGAGUAAUUAUUUUGGACUCUGGGGAACAAGAGCCAAUUGACAGUUGAGAUCAUAUCAACUACCAGAAGGCAGGGGAAGGAAAGAUCUUUUGUGGUCAGUUGAUGACAGAAGAACUUUAUGGCGAUGGGAUUCCAGUGGAAUUCUUAAGGAUGGGCUGGGUUGAAAUAAGUUUCUAAGAGGGAAAAGGAGUGCAAGCUGGAAAGCAAAUAAGAAACUCAAAGCCUGUAAACUGGCCGAUGUGACUGAAACAAAGAAGUACCUGCCAUAGGGAGCUAAAAGGCAGAGGAAGGUUAAUAUGUUUAAACAAGCUGCCAGUUGUAAUAGAGAUGUCCUGCAUUAAGCACUUUACAGAUCUGAGUGCACCUUUGCUAUGAAGGAGGAACAGUUACAAAUGGAGAGAUGGAGGAGGCAGAAGUUCAGUCAUGAAGCCAGGAUUUGAAUCCAAAUGGGUCUGACAUCAGAUUCCAUACUGCCUCCAAACCAUGCAGCCACACUUUCCUGCAAAGUACUGAGAGAAGAAAACAGAAAAAAAUCACAGAGAAGUUCCUUAUCUCAAGAGAAAAGGAAAAGCUGAAUGAAGUGACUUUAAAAGAAAAAGGGCUGGGCAUGGUGGCUCAUGCCUGUAAUCCCAGUACUUUGGGAGGCCAAGGUGGGCAGAUCACGAGGUCAAGAGAUCGAGACCAUCCUGGCCAACAUGGUGAAACUUCAUCUCUACUAAAAUACAAAAAUCAGCUGGACGUGGUGGCUCAUGUCUUACUCCCACCUACUUAGGAGGCUGAGGCAGGAGAAUUGCUUGAACCUGGGAGGCAGAGGUUGCAGUGAGCUGAGAUCGUGCCACUACACUCCAGCCUGGUGAC